UCCGGUUUUAUUCUUUGAGUUGAUAGCUUUAAGACUGUACUCUAGGUUUAAGUUUUUUUAAUGAGAAAUAUCUGAAUCUUCUGAUUCUAUCUUCUCUGUUCUUCUUGUUCUUGAGCUCUUCUUGUGAAAGUCCCAGUCUUUUCAAUAUGUUAGGAGAACUCUGAUGGAUCAAGGCCAGAUUGAUAGAUUACAUAAGGGAUUAACUUAGAGUCAGAACCGAAUGGUGAGAAGGAUACCUGAGUCUCAAAGGGGUGAUGAAUCCAUAAUUAUUCAUGACGAAUAAUCAAACUUGGAUAGUACGCAGAGAAAAGGUGAAUUAGAGGGCAACAUCUUGAUCACUGCAGAAACUAGGUUGCACAUUCACAUUGAUCUUUGGAGUGCGGUUGCCAAUCAUCUUCCGUUGGGGAAGGAUUAUAUGAAUUUUCGUCUUGUUUGCAGAACAUGGAGAUCAGUUGCCCCUCCAAUUCAUUGGACUUCUGAUUCAGUUUCUAUUGGCUGAUUUGCCAUCCAGUAUCCAUGGCUAAUGUUCCUUCAAAACAAAGAAAAGGGAGUAUGCAAAUUCUUUGACCCGAUAGGAAAUUUCACCUACCUUAUGAAUACUCCCGAAUUAUCAGAUUGUGCACUACUUUGUUCAAAAGAUGGUUGGAUUCUUGCUGGUCAAGGUAGACGAUCAAUUUUUCUAUUUGAACCCUUCACUAAGACCAAAAUCCAGCUUCCUGACUUGCCAUCAGAUUAUGACUUUAAUGGCAUUUGCAUCUCCGGAUCACCGCCCUCUUCCAACUCUGCUAUCUUUGCCAUUGUUCAUAGUUCCCCAUUGUGUGAUUCUAUUUUAUACCUCCCCUCAUGCAGAACAACACGCUGGCAUUUGUUAAUUAAAUUGCCGAAUGAUUGGACCAUUGCUUCCUUCAUGGACCAGUCCUGUGUUCUUGAAUGGAUCUUUUUAUUACUUGGGUCAGGAUGGAAGCUUGAGAGUUUUCAAGUUCAUGGAGAGAGGACAGAUGGUGGUUUGUCGUAUACUCGUAUCCUGGGCGGUCCUCAGUCGCCAUUUAGUAACUCUUCAACCAUGAGUCGGAUUUUUCUGGUUCCAUUUAAGGAUGAACUAAUAUCGGUAUGUCCUGGCAAUUUAGGAAAAGUUGUUUGUGUUUCAAGGUGGGAUUUUUUUAUCAAAAAAAUGGAUUGAUAAAAAGGAUUUGGGAGAUGGGAUGUUAUUUGCUAGUGAAUCUUCUUCCAUUGCUUUGGCAACAAAGGAUGUAGGAAUGAGGAACAAGAUAUAUUUUCCUGUUUUCAACCUUGAUCAGGAUGGCAAUAAUGUCUAUCUAUUCUCUCGAAACUUGGAGUACGAGAGUUUCGGAAGUGACCACUGUAGUGAAGAUCUGUCUGGCACUAAAGAAUACAUGCACAGCAUUUGGGUUCAACCUCGAAUAAUUCCGACAUUUAGAAGAAACAUAAGCAAUGGUGGUACUGGUAGUAGGCUGCCACUGAUUUUAACCCAAGAUAUAAUUAUGAAUGCUAUGCAGCUUAAGAUCUAUAUUGAUUUGUUCUUUUUUGACAUAUUUGUAGCUGCCACAUCUGAAUUCCUUAAGAUUUAAUAAAUUUCAGAGACGAAUAUACAAUUUA